rnacentral:rRNA from 1 species
CUAGAAAAGCCCAGCAGCGAGUUGACAUGGUGCCCGUACCCCAAACCAACACAGGUGGACAGGUAGAGCAUACCAAGGCGAGUGGGAUAACUAUGGUUAAGGAACUCGGCAAAUUGCCUCCGUAACUUCGGGAGAAGGAGGACCCCAGUAGCGUGAUGAGACUUGCUCUCUGAGCGUGAAGGGGUGGCACAAAAUUGAGGGAAGCGACUGUUUACCAAAAACACAGCAGCGUGCUAAGCCGUAAGGCGCUGUAUACGCUGUGACUCCUGCCCGGUGCUGGAAGGUUACGGGGAUGGGUUAGUCCUUCGGGACGAAGCUCUGAACCUAAGCCCCAGUAAACGGCGGCCGUAACUAUAACGGUCCUAAGGUAGCGAAAUUCCUUGUCGGGUAAGUUCCGACCUGCACGAAUGGAGUAACGACUUCCCUACUGUCUCAACCAUAGACCCAGCGAAAUUGAAGUACGAGUAAAGAUGCUCGUUAGCUGCAGAAGGACGGAAAGACCCCGUGGACCUUUACUAUAACUUGAUGUUGUGUUUUGUCAUAUGUUGUGUAGGAUAGGUGGGAGACUUGGAAGCAUGGACGCUAGUCUGUGUGGAGUCAUCGUUGAAAUACCACCCUGCAUAUGGUGAGGCUCUAACCUAGACCCGUUAUCCGGGUUGGGGACAGCGUCAGGCGGGUAGUUUAACUGGGGCGGUUGCCUCCUAAAGAGUAACGGAGGCGCCCAAAGGUUCCCUCAGCCUGGUUGGCAAUCAGGCGUUGAGUGCAAUGGCAAAAGGGAGCUUGACUGCGAGACCUACAAGUCGAGCAGGAGCGAAAGCUGGGCAUAGUGAUCCGGCGGUUGCGUGUGGAAGCGCCGUCGCUCAACGGAUAAAAGGUACCCCGGGGAUAACAGGCUAAUCUUGCCCAAGCGUCCAUAGCGGCGGCAAGGUUUGGCACCUCGAUGUCGGCUCAUCGCAUCCUGGGGCUGAAGCAGGUCCCAAGGGUUGGGCUGUUCGCCCAUUAAAGCGGUACGCGAGCUGGGUUCAGAACGUCGUGAGACAGUUCGGUCCCUAUCCUCUGCAGCCGGAGGUGAAUUGAGGAAAGCUGUCCCUAGUACGAGAGGACCGGGACGGACGCAGCUCUCGUGUGCCAGUUGUCCUGCCAAGGGCAUGGCUGGUUAGCGACCUGCGGAAAGGAUAACCGCUGAAAGCAUCUAAGCGGGAAGCCUCUUCCAAGAUGAAUUCACCCACAGGGUUAACCUGGUAAGGCCCGUGGUAGACCACCACGUUGAUAGGCCGGAAGUGUAAGCGUGGCAACACGUUCAGCUGACCGGUACUAAUCGGCCGAGGGCUUGAGUUC